CACCCUGGAGAUCAUCUACCUGCUGACCGGAGAGGAACAUAACGUAGUCAAGAAAAUAUCUGGUGAGCCAUUAACACCCAGCAGAUGUCUUCACAGGACAUCACCCAUCACCGAGCCUCCACCUCACCGCCUGACCACAGAGGUAAAAUGUGCCAAGAAGAUUCUAGA